UCUGUCCCGAUAAAAUCCCCUCCAUUUAUCGAAAAAGAAAAAAAAUAAAAUAAAAAAAAACAAGGAAAACCACGCCCUUUCACUCCGCAGAAUUUCCAUGGCAUUUUGAGUAGCGAAUUCCACAAUCCACAUUAUUCUUAAAUCAGCUUUUUCACUUUUCCUCCGCCGCCUCACUUCGCAAGAGAUGAAGGAUUGAAGUAUGACCCAACUAACAAUGUUUCUGAUUCAAAUUUCUCAAACCAUGGAAUGUGAUCAGUGUCCCCCUUGCAUACUAAAAAAGAUGCAAUCUACGAUAAAUUCGAUCAGUUGGGACAAUAGAUGACCCGAUUUUGUUAAAGCGGAUUGAGCGAGUAAGCAACCAUCAACCAUGUAUGUGAAGCUGUGCCUGGAGAGAUCUUCUGAAAGAGAUCUUCUGAAAGAGGGUAAAUUGAAAAGGAGAGAGCAUGUUUAAAGACAGGGAAUCCGAUGAAUGAGGUGAGAGUAGUGUUUGCUAAAGAACAAGGACUUCAAUUUCAUUAUUCUCCUGAAUUUUCUCGAACCUUGAAAUGGGAUGAGAACCAAAACCAAAUAAUAAUAUUAAUUAAUAUUGUCUAUUUCUGCAUGAAACGCCGUUGAGAUCAAAUACCUAGGAAUGCUCGACAAUCCCAUAACUUGCUGCUCUGCAGACAGUCGCCUCCUCCUAUUGGUAGAACUCCAAUUAGGAAAGAGGAGACCUUUGGGGAGCUCCUUUUCUUCUGCUGCUCAAAGAGAUCACAAUACCAGGGAUUCCAUAUCCACCACUUUUGUUC